rnacentral:tRNA from 2 species
GUAGAUAUAGUUUAAUAAAAACAUUAGAUUGUGAAUCUAACAAUAAAAGAUUAGCCCUUUUUAUCUACC